rnacentral:rRNA from 1 species
CAGCAGUGAGGAAUAUUGGUCAAUGGACGAGAGUCUGAACCAGCCAAGUAGCGUGCAGGAUGACGGCCCUAUGGGUUGUAAACUGCUUUUGCGCGGGGAUAACACCCUCCACGUGCUGGAGGUCUGCAGGUACCGCGCGAAUAAGGACCGGCUAAUUCCGUGCCAGCAGCCGCGGUAAUACGGAAGGUCCGGGCGUUAUCCGGAUUUAUUGGGUUUAAAGGGAGCGUAGGCCGUGAGGUAAGCGUGUUGUGAAAUGUAGGCGCCCAACGUCUGCACUGCAGCGCGAACUGCCCCACUUGAGUGCGCGCAACGCCGGCGGAACUCGUCGUGUAGCGGUGAAAUGCUUAGAUAUGACGAAGAACCCCGAUUGCGAAGGCAGCUGGCGGGAGCGUAACUGACGCUGAAGCUCGAAAGCGCGGGUAUCGAACAGGAUUAGAUACCCUGGUAGUCCGCGCGGUAAACGAUGGAUGCCCGCUGUGGCGCGCCUGGCGUGCCGCGGCUAAGCGAAAGCAUUAAGCAUCCCACCUGGGGAGUACGCCGGCAACGGUGAAACUCAAAGGAAUUGACGGGGGCCCGCACAAGCGGAGGAACAUGUGGUUUAAUUCGAUGAUACGCGAGGAACCUUACCCGGGCUUGAACUGCAGGAGAACGAUUCAGAGAUGAUGAGGUCCUUCGGGACUCCUGUGGAGGUGCUGCAUGGUUGUCGUCAGCUCGUGCCGUGAGGUGUCGGCUUAAGUGCCAUAACGAGCGCAACCCCUCUCCGUAGUUGCCAUCGGGUGAUGCCGGGCACUCUGCGGACACUGCCACCGUAAGGUGUGAGGAAGGUGGGGAUGACGUCAAAUCAGCACGGCCCUUACGUCCGGGGCCACACACGUGUUACAAUGGCCGUCACAGAGGGGAGCCGGGCGACCGGCUCAUGAUCCUUAAAAACGGUCUCAGUUCGGACUGGGGUCUGCAACCCGACCCCACGAAGCUGGAUUCGCUAGUAAUCGCGCAUCAGCCAUGGCGCGGUGAAUACGUUCCCGGGCCUUGUACACACCGCCCGUCAAGCCAUG